rnacentral:antisense_RNA from 1 species
CUUGAUGGUGGCUGUACGCAGGGCGCCCUCGGGCGCGCCGGAUUUCGUGUCUCCGCCGGUCGACUAACCUGCGUCCAGCCGCCUCCCUU